rnacentral:rRNA from 1 species
AAUAUUGGACAAUGGGCGCAAGCCUGAUCCAGCCAUGCCGCGUGUGUGAAGAAGGUCUUCGGAUUGUAAAGCACUUUAAUUUGGGCGGAAGGGCGGUUAAAGAAUACUUAACUGUUUUGUCGUUACCAAAAGAAUAGGCACCGACUAACUUCGUGCCAGCAGCCGGGGUAAUACGAAGGGUGCAAGCGUUAAUCUGAAUUACUGGGCGUAAAGCCGGCGUAGGUGGUUCGUUAGGUUGGAAGUGAAAGCCCCGGGCUCAACCUGGGAAUUGCUUUCAAAACUGGCGAGCUAGAGUACGGUAGAGGGUGGUGGAAUUUCCUGUGUAGCGGUGAGAUGCGUAGAUAUAGGAGGGAACAUCAGUGGCGAAGGCGACCACCUGGACUGAUACUGAUACUGAGGUGCGAAAGCGUGGGGAGCAAACAGG